rnacentral:rRNA from 1 species
GACGAACGCUGGCGGCGUGCUUAACACAUGCAAGUCGAGCGGUAAGGCCCUUUCGGGGGUACACGAGCGGCGAACGGGUGAGUAACACGUGGGUGACCUGCCCUUAGCUCUGGGAUAAGCCUGGGGAAACUGGGUCUAAUACCGGAUAUGACUCCAUGACGCAUGUUGUGGGGUGAAAGCCUUGUGCGGCUAGGGAUGGGCCUGCGGCCUAUCAGCUUGUUGGUGGGGUNAUGGCCUACCAAGGCGACGACGGUAGCCGGCCUGAGAGGGCGACCGGCCACACUGGGACUGAGACACGGGCCCAGACUCCUACGGGAGGCAGCAGUGGGGAAUCUUGCGCAAUGGGCGAAAGCCUGACGCAGCGACGCCGCGUGGGGAUGACGGCCUC